UCGUGCAUAUUUCCAUAGAAGAGCGUAAGGGAUGGAUUAUAUGAAGCCUUCGUAAAUCAAGUGAAGGAAGUUCGAUGCAUCAAUAUGUAGUGAGGAUGGUUUUCGUUUGAGUUUUUUAUUACUUCAAUUUUUUUUUAUGGUUUUGUUUGUUUUCAUUUUUUUAAUUCAUACGUUAUAAGUUUUAUUUUAACUCUAUUUUCAAUUCAUGUUUUCUUUACGUAUAAUCCACUCAUCUUCCAUGAUCACUUGAAGCGAUGUAGAGAGUAGCUUCUUUUUUUGGAAACGUAUUAUGUCACAUGUAAAGAAGAGAAGAGUUAUUGAACAUUGUUUAUUGAGAUUGGUCAUGGAAUUCGUA
rnacentral:lncRNA from 1 species